rnacentral:rRNA from 1 species
UGGGGAAUUUUGGACAAUGGGCGAAAGCCUGAUCCAGCAAUGCCGCGUGUGUGAAGAAGGCCUUCGGGUUGUAAAGCACUUUUGUCCGGAAAGAAAUCCUUGGCUCUAAUACAGUCGGGGGAUGACGGUACCGGAAGAAUAAGCACCGGCUAACUACGUGCCAGCAGCCGCGGUAAUACGUAGGGUGCAAGCGUUAAUCGGAAUUACUGGGCGUAAAGCGUGCGCAGGCGGUUUGCUAAGACCGAUGUGAAAUCCCCGGGCUCAACCUGGGAACUGUAUUGGUGACUGGCAGGCUAGAGUAUGGCAGAGGGGGGUAGAAUUCCACGUGUAGCAGUGAAAUGCGUAGAGAUGUGGAGGAAUACCGAUGGCGAAGGCAGCCCCCUGGGCCAAUACUGACGCUCAUGCACGAAAAGCGUGGGGGAGCAAAACAGGAUUAGAUACCCUGGUAGUCCACGCCCUAAAACUAUGUCAACUAGUUGUUGGGGAUUCAUUUCCUUAGUAACGUAGCUAACGCGUGAAGUUGACCGCCUGGGGAGUACGGUCGCAAAGAUUAAAACUCAAAGGAAUUGACGGGGUCAUAGCUGUUUCCU